rnacentral:lncRNA from 1 species
UUGAUUAAAUCUUCUAAAUUAUUAAGUUCUUAAAAUGAGCUGAUUUUGGUGAUAACUAGAUCAUAGCCUCCUAUUAAGGUGAGUGAUAAUGGAUCCAUUAUUUUUGAUUGAUAUUGCAGGCACCAUCCGUCUGAUGUUCUCUCUGAAUGAUGGAAUUAUCAUUCAUCAUAUGAUGACUCUGAUGAACUAUCUGAUGAUGGUUGGGUUG